GCUUGGUGGUUCAGUGAUAGAAUUCCUGCCUUCCGUGCAGGAGACACGGGAUUAAUCCCUGGCCAAUGCA
rnacentral:tRNA from 1 species